UUUGGACAAGGAUCAGGACCAAUCUGGAUGAACAAUGUACGCUGUAAAGGAUCAGAGUCAAUGCUGAAGAAGUGUAGGUCAGCAGAAUGGGGGAAAAAUAGCUGUAGUCAUGCUUCUGAUGUGGGAGUCACCUGCUCAGAGCAUAAACCAAAAGAUAAAGAAGAAUCUGCACAGAAGUCAGCAAUUCUCACAGACAGUGUGAGGUUGAUGGAUGGUGGAAGUCGUUGUAAAGGGAGAGUGGAGGUUCUUCGUGAGGGACAGUGGGGAACAGUGUGUCGUUCUGCAUGGGAUUUGAAAGAUGCUGCAGUGGUGUGUAGAGAACUGCACUGUGGAGAAGCUGAAAAAGCACUUCAUUAUGCUGAGUUUGGACAAGGAUCAGGACCAAUCUGGAUAUAUGAUUUGUAUUGUGGAGGAUCCGAACUGACAUUAAACAAUUGUAGCUCACAAGGAGGACACGUGUGUGGUCAUGUUC